rnacentral:rRNA from 1 species
GACGAACGCUGGCGGCGUGCCUAAUACAUGCAAGUGGGACGCAAGGGAACACACUGUGCUUGCACACCGUGUUUUCUUGAGUCGCGAACGGGUGAGUGACGCGUAGGUAACCUGCCUAUUAGCGGGGGAUAACUAUUGGAAACGAUAGCUAAUACCGCAUAAUAUUAAUUAUUGCAUGAUAAUUGAUUGAAAGAUGCAAGCGCAUCACUAGUAGAUGGACCUGCGUUGUAUUAGCUAGUUGGUAAGGUAAGAGCUUACCAAGGCGACGAUACAUAGCCGACCUGAGAGGGUGAUCGGCCACACUGGGACUGAGACACGGCCCAGACUCCUACGGGAGGCAGCAGUAGGGAAUCUUCGGCAAUGGACGAAAGUCUGACCGAGCAACGCCGCGUGAGUGAAGAAGGUUUUCGGAUCGUAAAGCUCUGUUGUAAGUCAAGAACGUGUGUGAGAGGGAAAGUUCACACAGG